rnacentral:rRNA from 1 species
GCAUAUCAAUAAGCGCGGAGGAAAAGAAACCAACCGGGAUUGCCUCAGUAACGGCGAGUGAAGCGGCAAAAGCUCAAAUUUGAAAUCCUUCGGGAGUUGUAAUUUGUAGAGGGGUGUCUUUGGGGCGGCAUUGUCUAUGUUCCUUGGAACAGGACGUCACAGAGGGUGAGAAUCCCGUGCGAUGAUGCCUCAACCAGUACAAGACCCUCUCGACGAGUCGAGUUGUUUGGGAAUA